CCUGUUUACAAUAAUGAGAGUUGCCAUUUAAUUGAGAGUCAUCAGAAUUGUCUGAAGAAUGGGAGACCGGACACUGGGUAUUUGUAUUGGAGGUGGAAUCCGCGAGAUUGUGAGCUUCCCCAAUUCGAUUCAGAGAAAUUUUUGGAGUUGAUGAGGGAUAAGACGUGGGCGUUGAUUGACGAUUCUAUAUCUCGAAACCAUGUUCAGUCCUUGCUUUACUUGCUUUCAGAGGUGAUCGGGCACCGGAUCAGAGUUAGCGGCGUCGACCUAAACCUUGUUUUUGUCAAGCCAACUAUUGUGUCUCACUGCGAGGUUCCGAACCAUUGUAUGUCAAGGCUUAUUGGGUGAAAAUUCACCCUUUUGACAUUGUGUUUAUGAGAUAAGAGUGCUUAUUGAGUUUUGUUAACUGCUUUAGGCAAUGCGAUUUAAUUCCCUAGCUUAUGUUUUGUUAUGUACACGUGUGUUAUGGACUUAAGUGUUUGUGUAUAUACCUAUGUAUAUGCAAGUUUAUUUUCAUUUAAGUCCCCACAGCUCAUUGGGCGGUAUUUUCUAUUAUUGUUUAGCUUUCGCCAGCCCCUAUUAUUAUGUUAUUGUUAUUAUUGUUAAACAGGCCUUUGGUAAUCACGAAUUAUUGGCCGGUUACAACACUAAACCUAUAGGGGCGGGUUUGGAUCGUGACGUAAAAUCUAUCAAGAAAAUAGCAUUUACUUAAUGCUCA